rnacentral:misc_RNA from 1 species
CCAAACUUGGUCAUUUAGAGGAAGUAAAAGUCGUAACAAGGUUUCCGUAGGUGAACCUGCGGAAGGAUCAUUAUUGAAUAUACUUGAUGGGUUGUAGCUGGCUCUCUGGAGUAUGUGCACACCUGUCUUGGAUUCUAUUCAUCCCACCUGUGCACCAUUUGUAGUCUUUGAGGGAUGUGGAUUCUUAUCAGUCAAUUGACUGAUGUCAGGAGAUUGCAUUAGUUUGCUCUCUUCAAUCUCACUCACCUUUGGAGUCUAUGUAUAUAUACAUAUACAUGAAUGUCAUAGAAUGUUGUUUAACAGGCCUUUGUGCCUAUAAAAUCUUAUACAACUUUCAGCAACGGAUCUCUUGGCUCUCGCAUCGAUGAAGAACGCAGC